UACGGAGGGUGCAAGCGUUAUCCGGAUUUACUGGGUUUAAAGGGUGCGUAGGCGGUCUUUAAGUCAGUGGUGAAAUCCUCCUGCUCACGGGAGAACUGCCAUUGAUACUAUUGAUCUUGAAUUCAGUUGAGGUGGGCGGAAUGUGUCGUGUAGCGGUGAAAUGCUUAGAUAUGACACAGAACACCGAUUGCGAAGGCAGCUCGCUAAACUGAUAUUGACGCUGAGGCACGAAGCGUGGGGAUCAA
rnacentral:rRNA from 1 species